AUGUUUUCUGCCACUCACGCUGCUCUUGUGAUCUUCUUAAUAUUCAGAGGGACCAAUGGAGACUCAGUGACCCCGACAGAAGGCCCAGUGACUGUCUCAGAGGGGGCGCCUGGGACACUGCACUGCACUUACCAGACCUCUGGUUCAGAUCUCUAUCUUUUCUGGUACGUCCAGUAUCUCAGCAAAGCUCCGCAACUCCUCCUGAAGGGCUCGAAGGCAAACCGGAGGGCAGAGCAUCAAGGUUUUCAGGCCACUCUUGUUACGAGUAACAGCUCCUUCCACCUGCAGAAACCCUCAGUGCAAACAUCAGACUCGGCUGUGUACUACUGUGCUCUGAGUGACACAGUGAGAGGGGCUGCAGGGGGAGCUGAACACAAACCCAAGGGGAGCAGGAGGGCUGAAGUGAGCAGCCUUGGGAGGAAGAGCCCAGGUUCAGACACAGGGGCUGAGUUAGGGCCCCUGGAUUCUAGUGUCUGCUUGAAGUAUGAGGCUGGUGAUGGAGUGACCGUGCUGCUGAACCUGAGUGAGUGUUCUGAGCCUAAGAAAGGAUGGUGUCUGAAACCAAAGCAUUGGAAAGGGGACUUGGUGCCUCCAUUUGUCCUGCUGUCCUUCACUCAAGAUGCUUAG